rnacentral:rRNA from 1 species
ACAUAUCAAUAAGCGGAGGAAAAGAAACCAACAGGGAUUGCCCUAGUAACGGCGAGUGAAGCGGCAACAGCUCAAAUUUGAAAUCUGGCUCUCGGGCCCGAGUUGUAAUUUGUAGAGGAUACUUUUGAUGCGGUGCCUUCCGAGUUCCCUGGAACGGGACGCCAUAGAGGGUGAGAGCCCCGUCUGGUUGGAUGCCAAAUCUCUGUAAAGUUCCUUCAACGAGUCGAGUAGUUUGGGAAUGCUGCUCUAAAUGGGAGGUAUAUGUCUUCUAAAGCUAAAUACCGGCCAGAGACCGAUAGCGCACAAGUAGAGUGAUCGAAAGAUGAAAAGCACUUUGAAAAGAGAGUUAAAAAGUACGUGAAAUUGUUGAAAGGGAAGCGUUUAUGACCAGACUUGGGCUUGGUUAAUCAUCUGGGGUUCUCCCCAGUGCACUUUUCCAGUCCAGGCCAGCAUCAGUUUUCCCCGGGGGAUAAAGGCGGCGGGAAUGUGGCUCUCUUCGGGGAGUGUUAUAGCCCACCGUGUAAUACCCUGGGGGGGACUGAGGUUCGCGCAUCUGCAAGGAUGCUGGCGUAAUGGUCAUCAACGACCCGUCUUGAAACACGGACCAAGGAGUCGUCUUCGUAUGCGAGUGUUCGGGUGUCAAACCCCUACGCGUAAUGAAAGUGAACGCAGGUGAGAGCUUCGGCGCAUCAUCGACCGAUCCUGAUGUUCUCGGAUGGAUUUGAGUAAGAGCAUACGGGGCCGGACCCGAAAGAAGGUGAACUAUGCCUGUAUAGGGUGAAGCCAGAGGAAACUCUGGUGGAGGCUCGCAGCGGUUCUGACGUGCAAAUCGAUCGUCAAAUAUGGGCAUGGGGGCGAAAGACUAAUCGAACCUUCUAGUAACUGGUUUCCGCCGA